rnacentral:RNase_P_RNA from 2 species
UGGGCUGGCCGGGCGACCGCGUUCCGCCACACGGCAACGUGCGGUGGGCCGAGGAAGGUCCGGGCUCCACAGGGCAGGGUGAUGGUUAACGGCCAUCCGGGGCAACCCGCGGGACAGUGCCACAGAAAACAGACCGCCACUCGGUGCUUCGGCGACGAGCGGUAAGGGUGAAACGGUGGGGUAAGAGCCCACCAGUGCACCGGGCGACCGGUGCAGCUAGGUAAACCCCACCCGGAGCAAGAUCAGACAGUGUGCGUUCGAGGGCGGCCCGCCCGAGUGCACGGGUAGAUCGCUGGAGGGAGUCGGCAACGGCUCUCGUAGAUGGAUGGUCGCCUCGCCCCGGCUCCGGCCGGUGCGGACAGAACCCGGCCUACAGGCCAGCCCAUUCG